GAUGAACGCUGGCGGCAUGCCUAAUACAUGCAAGUCGAACGGAGCACUUCGGUGCUUAGUGGCGAACGGGUGAGUAACACGUAGGUAACAUACUUAUAAGCCGAGGAUAACGGUUGGAAACGACUGCUAAGACUGGAUAGGAAUAUUGGGGGCAUCCCUGAUAUUUUAAAGGACCACAGGUACACUUAUAAAAUGACCUGCGGCGCAUUAGCUAGUUGGUAAGGUAGCGGCUUACCAAGGCGAUGAUGCGUAGCCGGACUGAGAGGUUGAACGGCCACAUUGGGACUGAGACACGGCCCAGACUCCUACGGGAGGCAGCAGUAGGGAAUUUUCGGCAAUGGGGGGAACCCUGACCGAGCAAUGCCGCGUGAAUGAAGAAAUACUUCGGUAUGUAAAGUUCUUUUAUUUGGGAAGAACGGCUAGUGGAAAAGCUAGAGUGACGGUACCAAAUGAAUAAGCCCCGGCUAACUAUGUGCCAGCAGCCGCGGUAAUACAUAGGGGGCAAGCGUUAUCCGGAAUUAUUGGGCGUAAAGGGUGCGUAGGCGGUUAGUAAAGUUUAAGGUAUAAGCUCAUGGCUCAACCAUGGGAGGCUUUAGAAACUGGCUAACUUGAGUGCAGUAGAGGCAAGUGGAAUUCCAUGUGUAGCGGUAAAAUGCGUAAAUAUAUGGAGGAACACCAGUAGCAAAGGCGGCUUGCUGGGCUGUAACUGACGCUGAGGCACGAAAGCGUGGGGAGCAAACAGG
rnacentral:rRNA from 1 species